GAUGUCACCAGAACCCCUGGAUGGAAUUACAGCCUUUUAAUUUACAACUUGAUGUCACUGCCACUCUCCCCAGCUCCAUCUUCAUCCCGCCGAGUCCCAUCUUCCUUCUCACCAGCCUGGUAUUUUUGAACGUACAUUUGAAUUGCAACAGUCGGCAUCAAGAUGGUGGGAAAUAGCAGUUGAGAUUUCUCAACUAGAAGAUUGAAAAGUCUAAGGCUGGACAAACAAUCAAACAAUGAGAGGCUGUACAAGAAGCAUGGCACCAGCAACUGCUCGGCUUCUGGGGAAGCCUCAGGAAGCUUCCAAUCAUGGCAGAAGGCGAAGGGAGAGCCAGCAUGUCACAUGGUUAAGCCUGAGUUUGGUCUUCUGUUACUUGGAACUGAAAUAAUGUGCAUUGACACACCUAACAAGUCAAAGUAUUGUCUUUUGCUGGUCUGCUCUGGUCCUGGAAACAUCCACUGAUAGAAUCACUGGUCUGGGACAAAUUGUGGUACCCAAAGACCUCAGGAAGCACUUAGAAGCAUUACUCCUGAAGUCCCAUUCGUCCCAAGAAGAGUUGCUGGCUGGAGGAGACAAUAUGUAAACAUGUCAUGACAAGAUGGUGUGCCAUCAAGUCUGAGAUAAUCUGUUAUGGCAACGUAAGAAGCUAAUACAAGAUGCAGGAGUGAAGCAGCGAGGUCUGGAAAAAAGCUAUUGCAAAAAUACAGUCUCAGCAAGGGGAUAGAAGGAGCCCUGCAUUCUCUCCUGACACGCUUGACAAAAACAAACCCAACUAGAGGUCGCCAGCAACGGAGGGGCAUCCUGUGUAAGGACUUGGAAGAGGAGUUGUAUUGUCACCCCCUGGCCACUAGAGGACUUCAUCCUAUUUCAGUGGAGGAAGGCCUGUUAGGGGCCUCUCUAUACUGGUGGAGGUUUGGUCGUCUUCCCUUCACUUGAUUUCUGCCAGUGGCCUUAUGUGAGGAUGCUUCAUGAGAUGUCAAGUAUCCGAGGAGUCUGUGACACAACCAUCCAGUGGUGAAUUGCUAAGGAGCUCCUCUCCAGCCUGCUUGACUCUGAGGUUAAAAGAGUCUUCAUGUUGAGCACAAGUCAUCUCUUUGCACUUUCACCAGUUGUGUCCAUCUGAAAAACACAGAGGUCUGUCUCACUUCUGCAUCACAGUCCCUUCCAAGAAGCUCCACAAUGGGUAAGGCACAAUAAAAUGGCUUAUAUUCAACAAACACAUAA
ensembl:lncRNA novel transcript